UACGGAGGGUGCGAGCGUUAAUCGGAAUUACUGGGCGUAAAGCGCGCGUAGGCGGUUUGAUCAGUCUGAUGUGAAAGCCCCGGGCUUAACCUGGGAACGGCAUUGGAUACUGUCAGGCUAGAGUGUGGUAGAGGGCAGUGGAAUUCCCGGUGUAGCGGUGAAAUGCGUAGAGAUCGGGAGGAACACCAGUGGCGAAGGCGGCUGCCUGGACCAACACUGACGCUGAGGUGCGAAAGCGUGGGGAGCAAACAGG
rnacentral:rRNA from 1 species